rnacentral:lncRNA from 1 species
CUUUCCUGAAACCCCACUAAAAUUAUUUUAAAAAAUUCAUUUUUAAAGGGCAUAAUGUCACAAAAACAGAGAGAGGAGGAGGGGUAAUGAUAGCAGACAAUUCUUGUCCACAAAGUAGUAGAAGCUGGAAAGCCAAUAACCUAGUGGUAAGUGACCUAGAUUUCAGCUUGCUCCGCUCUGCCUAAGUACCUGAAGCAGAAGAAAGCCAGCUAGAAGCAAGGGGAGUCAUGAAACCCAGAACACCCCCAACAAUAGAAGAACUGAAGGCUUCCAAAGGUGUUGGGUUUGCAAGUAGGGUCUCAAACAGUAGAAUCUGUUAAAAGUCUGAAUAAAGAGUUAACAGACAUUUUAGUUCACUCCCUCUGUCUAGGAAGGUAGGUGACUACACAGUGCAGAAGACAGGUGUCCCCCACUGAUAACAGAGACCUCCAUGAGCCUACCUUCUGAAGUGAGAUCGCUUAUUCCCCUUCCCACACUGGGCCCUGAGAGAGCUGACUGUCAGGCUCGCACUCCAUCAUGCAAGAUAGUGAAGAAAUCCUCUGGGGAAACUCUCGAGCUCUAUAAAUAUGGACAGGCAGGGGUCUCAGCCAGACAGCUGGCUCCUGCAUGAUGGCUCCACAAUGAAGCCUGACACCAGGAGAGCUUUGCAUGAAAGCAGAGCUUCAAACCAACAUUUUAGUAUCCCCAAUCUAAUUUAUUUUUAAAUAACCUUCGUUAAAAUUUCCAGAUCAGAUCAAAGACAUCCUGUGUUUCUUUUAUGCAGAUUUCCCAAAUGUUAACAUUUUACUGAAUAUUCAUGAUUGCCGGCUCUGUCUCACUCUUUCCGUGUGUGUGUGUGUGUGUGUGUGUGUGUGUAGGGAAGUAAGGUACUCAUUAUCAUUUACCUUUAAAAAGAAAGCUUCAGGGGAGUUACCGUCAUGGUGCAGCAGAAACUAAUCUAACUAGGAAACAUGAGGGUACGGGUUUGACCCCUGGCCUUGCUCAGUGGUUUAAGGAUCUGGAGUCACCGUGAGCUGUGGUAUAGGUCACAAAUGCAGCUCGGACCUGGCAUUUCUGUGGCUCUGGUGUAGGUCAGCAGCUACAGCUCCAAUUAGACCCCUAGCCUGGGAACCUCCAUAUGCCAUGGUGCGGCCCUAAAAAGACAUACAUACAUACAUAAAAAGAAAGCUUCAGGAGUUCCCACUGUGGCACAGUGGGUUAAGAAUCCAACUACAGUGGCCUGGGUGACUGCAGAGCCACAGGUUUGACCUCCAGCCCUGCACAGUGGAUUAAGGAUCCAGUGUUGCCACAGCUGCAGUCAGUAUAGGUCACGACUGUGGCUCAGAUUCGAUCUCUAGCCCAGGAACUUCCAUAUACCACGGGUGCAGCCAUAAAAUAAAAAUUUUUUAAAAAAAAAAGAAAGCUUCAGACAUGACCUCCUAUCACCCAUAAAUAAUCUAGUGUAAAUUUCCCCCAAACAAGGACACUCACCCAUUCAAAUUUUGCCAACUGUCCAAAACUACCUCUUUUUUUCUUUCCAAUUCAGGGCUGUGCCAAGGAAUAUGUAUUUAAGUUAAUUCAUACAAGUUUCUUCAGAUCCUUUCAACUUAAAACAGAAUUUCUCAGUCUUUGCAGUCCUUAUCAAUUUUGAAAGAGUACGGGUGUCACAAUCUCUAGGGCGAUGCUUACAAGAAGUCUCAGGACCAGGUCAUGUGUCUUUCACAGGAAGGAAUACCAUGGAAAUCAGGGUGUGCUUUUCUCAGAAAAUCCCAGCAGGCUUUUCAAAGUUGGCAAAGAAAGAACAAAAACAAAAGUAUGUAUUGGGAGUUCCCGUCGUAGCACAGUGGAAAUGAAUCUGACUAGGAACCAUGAGGUUGCAGGUUCGAUCCCUGGCCUCACUCAGUGGGUUAAGGAUCUGGUGGUACCGUGAACUGUGGUGUAGGUCGCAGAUGUGGCUCAGAUCUGGCCUUGUUGUGGCUGUGGUAUAGACCAGCAGCUACAGCUCUUAUUAGACCCCUAGCCUGGGAACCUCCACAUGCAGCAGGUGCAGCCUUAAAAAGACAGGGGAAAAAAAAAAAAGAAAAAAAAAAAAGCAUGUAUUAAAUCUGAGUAAUUUCUAAAACUGAAGCAAGAAAAUGAAACCAGAGUUGAAUACUAUAAAGAAAUGGGAUAAGACAGAGGCUCUCCCCUACCUGCAAGCUAACAAAUCACACACCAGUUUCAUAGACGUCAACAAGACACGAGACUCCUGGAUCAGAGGCAAAGAAUUAUUACUCACAGAACAGCAUGAGCUUCCUAGUCCCUCUGGUCCCCUUGCCAUUCAAGGUCCAAGGGGGUGACAAAGAGUGGCGUGAAUAAAUGCUGCAAUGCAGUGCGUUUCUAUCACAACUGAGAAACUCUGACUUGGGGGAAUCCCAGUCUUUUAUCAUGGACUGAAAGCAAACAUACAUGACCUUUUCCCCAGAAAAGACAUCAUCAUGGCGGACAGCACACAAACCUGUCCUCUGUGCCCGAGGGAGAUGCCAGUGCUGUCUUCCAAGGCUGUUCACUCUUUCUACAUCCCUGAAAUGAUCUUCUCAAACAAAAGCUGUCAGUGCCUCUGCUCAUGAGGUGUGUAGAAAUGCAAAAGCCCAUGGAGAAAAACCCGUAGCCUAUCUCUUCGUGGCUCAUCUCUCAAAACAGUUACAAAAUCGUAAUGGAGGUAACACUGGAUGUUGACCUAACCCAUGAUCAUGACCUAAACAUGUCAAGAAUGGCGAGAAAUGGAAGAGUAAGUUGAGGAGAGCCGAAUGAAACAAAAGACAACAAAUCAUAAUACCCUACAGUGGAAAUAAUUAAAUAACAUCUGGAGUUCCCAUCGUGGCUCAGCGGGUUAAGAACCUCACUAAUGUCCAUGAGGAUGUGGGUUCAAUUCCUGGCCUAAAUCAGUGGGUUAAGAAUUCAGCAUUGUUACAAACUGUGGUGUAGGUCAUGGAUGCAGGCUGAAUCUGCCUGUGGUGUAGGCAAACAGCUGUAGCUCCAAUCUGACCCCUAGCCUGGGAACUUCCAUAUGCUGUGGGUGCAGCCCUAAAAAGCAAAUAAAUAAAAUAUGUAUGUAAUUAUUUUCAUAAAAAUUAAAAUAUAAUUUAAAAAGAAAGAUUUUGGGGCACAAGAGCUUUAUUAUAAAUAUUAGUUCAUGGUUUGAAGCAAUUUAAUCUGCCCCAACUAUCUCUAAGGACCUAAUAGGAAUAUGGGCACCUCAUUUUUUGAGAAAGUGACAUUUAAGGGUAUGAAACUGGUCCCCUUAGCUUAACUAGAUAUUCUCUGAAGGUUUAUAGACUAAGCCCCCAGACCUUGUAGGGAAGAGUGGACUUCCACUAGCACUCUUUGGGCUCAAUGCUUAUGUGCCCUCUUCAAAGAAUAUGGGAAAGAGAAAACAACCUCAUUGCUGGUGUGAUGCCCACUAUAAUCUCUCCCAGCUGCUCUGGGCUGUAUUCACAACAAAGGAAACUUGACUCUGCACAGCCCUUCAGGCUGGUAACCACUCUCUGGAGCUAUUCAUCUAGGCCAGACCCUGUAGAUGGGAACAGGGGUGGGGGUGGGGUAGAAAAACGGCAGUGGCUAAAGAUGGAAGCUAAUAUGUUGGAAGUUUAUAGAGUCAAGAGUUUUGCUAUCUCAAUCUUUUUUUUGUUUUUGUCCUUUUAGGGCUGCACCCAUGGCAUAUGCAGGUUUCCAGGCUAGGGGUCAAAUCGGAGCUGUAGCCUCUGGCCUAUGCCACAGCCUCAGCCAUGCCAAACCCAAGCCUCAGCUGAGACCUACACCAUAGCUCACGUCAACACUGGAUCCUUAACUCACUGAGUAAGGUCAGGGAUCAAACCUUAACCCACUGAGUAAGGUCAGGGAUCAAACCUGUGUCCUCAUGGUUACCUGUCAGAUUUGUUUCUGCUGAGUCAUGACAGAAACUCCUCAAAUCUUUUCUUCCAUAUAUAGGUCAUUGUACUAAAAAAAUCAAAAAUUAUGCAAGAAUAUAAAGUAGAAAGUGGAAGCUCCGGGGCCCAGGAAUAGGAAGGAAUGAAUCAAGAAAGAGGAAGACAGAGAAUGCAGGGAAAGGGCUGACAGGACUCCACCAGAUGACACAGAGAUUCCAGAAUGACAGUUGUGUACCAGCACAGAUAACUACCAGUUCUAACUCCAACUGGUAAAAAGGCUCUAGAAUAAACUUCCUCAGGUACAAUGCAAUGUCUAGAAUAACAUAUAUAAUUAGCAAAGACGUGUGUUAAAUGGUUUCCAAACUGGGGCAUGCAGACAGUGAGAGCAAACAUUAUUAUACUAGGAUGAUGGUCAAAGGGGUAUGAAGAAAAGAAUAUGCAAGAAGGAAAAGGCCAUCAUAAUUUACUACAUGGCAAACCUAUGAAUAUUUCUCAUAGUAAUGUGAAUACCUAGUACUAAUCCAAACAAAAUUACGAUAUGGCUGUGUGGAAAGAUGAGUUCAUGGAAAAGGUGCACAGGUGAGGUGGGAAUUAGGGGAAUAAAGGAAGUAAAUCCUUAUCCUCUACAGUGAGAAACUGAUAGAUAACACAUUAAGCUGAAAAAUAAAGAGGUAUCAGAACAAGCAUGUUAUUUAGAGAGAAAGAGGUAAGCUCAAAAUUUAGAAAUUAAAAUAGGUGGAUAUAGUUUCCUCUUGGGUAAAAAAAAAAAUGGGCAAAGAAGAAACAGGGGAUUGAUGUUUUUUGUGAUUACUUGACUCUUUAUACUUUAUACAUUUAUGUCUUUGAUAUAAGAAAAAAUUAAAAAAAAAAAAAAGAAAGAAAAG